rnacentral:rRNA from 1 species
GAGUUUGAUCCUGGCUCAGAAUGAACGUUGGCGGCGUGGAUUAGGCAUGCAAGUCGAGCGAGAAUUUUUAUUCAGAUACUUCGGUUGAUGAAUAAGAAGGACAGCGGCGAAAGGGAGAGUAACAGGUAGAUACGUGCCCAAGGGUUCAGGAUAGCCAUGCGAAAGCGUGAGUAAUACUGAAUAAUGUCUCCGGACCAAAGAUUUAUUGCCCUUGGAGCGGUCUGCUUCCUAUUAGAUUGUUGGUGGGGUAAUGGCCUACCAAGUCAAAGAUGGGUAGCGGGUGUGAGAGCAUGGCCCGUCUCACUGGGACUGAGAUACUGCCCAGACACCUACGGGUGGCUGCAGUCGAGAAUCUUCCGCAAUGGACGAAAGUCUGACGGAGCGACGCCGCGUGAUGGACGAAGGCCCUCGGGUUGUAAACAUCUGUCGUAGGGGAGGAAAUUUUGACCGAUCCUAGGAGGAAGCACAGGCUAAAUUCGUGCCAGCAGCCGCGGUAAUACGAAUUGUGCGAACGUUAUUCGGAAUCACUGGGCUUAAAGGGUGCGUAGGCGGACUUGUAGGUCAGGUGUGAAAUCCCACGGCUCAACCGUGGAAUUGCGCUUGAAACCACUCGUCUUGAGGGGAUCAGAGGAGAGCGGAACUGAUGGUGGAGCGGUGAAAUGCGUUGAUAUCAUCAGGAACACCGGUGGCGAAAGCGGCUCUCUGGGAUCUUUCUGACGCUGAGGCACGAAAAGCUAGGGGGAGUGAACGGGAUUAGAUACCCCGG